UCUCCAUGAAAUUGUACCGUGUGUUGUCAAUGGUCAAAUCAUUCUGCAAUACAAGCAUUUCCAGAAGGAGAGGCUUGGCCUCAACAUGAUGCCACAUUGGGGGAGGGUGGUUGUGGUUGGUGUGCCACCUCCCUACAUCCGGCCUGAAGAGCAGAGCCCCCUGCCGUGAGGGGAUGGAGCCUGGACUCGGGGACAGUGUGCUCUGGGGUGUGUGGCUGAUGGCGCAGAGGUUGGGGGCCGUGGACAGGGCUGGCGAGGUGUUUGCCGUCAGCACGUGGGUGGGAAGGCUGAGGCGAGGCUCUGGGGAUGAGAACCUGAAUCAGGCUGGAUUGUGGGGCAGCAGCCACGGCGGCACAGCCGAGACCUGUACGGACCUAGAGUGUGGACACUGUUGGGCUGGACUUUUCCAGAAUCUGGAGGUACAGAGUUUCUUGCCCCUGGGAACUGGCGUUCUAGUGGAGGGCAGCCCACAAACAACGGGGUAGGGUAGUGAGGGCAGGUGACAGGAGCUCAGGGGGGAGGGGAAGCCUGGGGUGGUCAGUGGGGGGCUGAUGUGUGGAACCUUCAGCGAAAUCCCUGCCCAG